AUGAGUUAGGCUAUGUAAGAUGAAUGAAAUCAAAUUUUAAAAGAUUGGUGGUACUUUAAUAUUUACUCAUUCAUUUAAGAAAAAAAUUAUUGAGCAUUUGUCAGUCACUAUUCUGGGCAGUUAACUAAAUACACAGAAAUCUGUUCCCAGGGCCUUAAAUUUGUUGUAAGGAACAGGUAAUAAACCAAUAAUGAACACAUCUAUGCUACAAUAUAUUUGUUGGCCAUAAGUGCUAGAGAAAAACAUAAAUAAAGCAGGGCCUAGGAAAUGGAGUGCAGGGUGGCUUCAGGUUUAAAGAGAAAAUCCAGGACUGUUCUGAGAAGGUGAUCUAUAACAAAAACUUGAAGUAGCUGAGGAAGUGAGACACACGGAGAAUUAAGGACGAGAAAUUAGAGCUGGAGGAACAGCAAAUGCAAAACCCUUAAGAAGAGAACAUCUCCAAAAUGUUUCAGCAAGGAAUCCAGGAUAAAUAAAGUAGGUGA